AUGGCGGCCACCACGCCUGGCAGAUUAAGAAGGAUGACGGGGUACUCGACCAUGGAGAAUGAGUUACUGUGGGAUGCGUGGUUGGUCAUAUCCGUAGAUUUCGUAGGCAUGAGCAGAGGGAGGAUCUUCUGGCAGCAAGCGCAUGAAUUGUUUCACGCACGAAAGCACACUGCGCCCUACGACAUGCACGUCAUUCCUGAUCGCAAUGUGAAGUCGUUAUCAUAUUGA
rnacentral:rRNA from 1 species